CCUCGACGGUUUGAGGAGACACUUCAAUUGAUUGGUAAGAGACAAUGUCAGAUACAAUAUACUGUAUGUACAUAACUAAUUUUGUAUGUUACAGGAUAUGAAAAUUCUAUGGCUGACGCCAUUUAGUACAGGGCUGGAAAAAACUGUGAAAUACUUUAACUCCAUUUAUCCCUCUCCUCUAAAGACAAAAAUAUUCAAGAACUCAAGGAGAGCUUAGACAGCCCAGACAUUUAUCCAUCCGAAACUUACAACAUACGGACCUGGGGUUUGCGGCAUGAACUAUCUGGCGAAAAGUGGCAAAAAUCAAGACCACAUCUUUUACAAGCCAUGUUAACAAGCGGAAGGACACCUCAACAAGCUUGCCAACAGUGUCAUGUGGAAGAGGCUGUUAUUCGAUGCAGAGACUGCCUCCCCAAAGAACUGUAUUGCAGUAACUGUGAUGUGUCAGUGCAUCACCAGUAUGUUCUACACAACAGGGAGUCAUUUGUGGGAGGCUUUUACAAAGCCAUUUCACCGAAAUGCAUCGUUACAAAAGACAGCACUGGUGAACAUGUAGUUAGUGAGCAAGAUUGUCUCCUACCGAUCGCUUUGCCCAACAAGAUUUGCUGUUGUGGUGCUGAGGAUGUUUCAGUGAAUGCUGGUCGUGCCAUUAUCUUCAUAAAUAUUAAUGGUCGCUAUGAUCUCUCCCUUCCUUUGGUAACCUGUAAGUCUUGCCUAAAAUCGUGGACAC